GAUGAAGAACGUAGCGAAAUGCGAUACUUGGUGUGAAUUGCAGAAUCCCGUGAACCAUCGAGUCUUUGAACGCAAGUUGCGCCCGAAGCCACUAGGCCGAGGGCACGCCUGCCUGGGCGUCACACGCCGUUGCCCCCCCAUCUACUCCUUCGGGAUUGCGGGGGGGCGGAGGAUGGCCUCCCGUGCGCCUAGCCGCGCGGUUGGCAUAAAUACCAAGUCCUCGGCGACGCACGCCACGACAAUCGGUGGUUGCGAAACCUCGGUUGCCCGUCGUGUGCGUUCGUCGCGCAUCGAGGGCUCGAAAAAAUGCUCGGCUCCGGCUGGGCUUUCAACGCGACCCCAGGUCAGGCGGGGUUACCCGCUGAAUUUAAGCAUAUCAAUAAGCGGAGGA
rnacentral:misc_RNA from 1 species